ACUUAAAUUGAAGAGUUUGAUCAUGGCUCAGAUUGAACGCUGGCGGCAGGCUUAACACAUGCAAGUCGAGCGGUAGCACAGAGAGCUUGCUCUCGGGUGACGAGCGGCGGACGGGUGAGUAAUGUCUGGGAAACUGCCUGAUGGAGGGGGAUAACUACUGGAAACGGUAGCUAAUACCGCAUAACGUCGCAAGACCAAAGUGGGGGACCUUCGGGCCUCAUGCCAUCAGAUGUGCCCAGAUGGGAUUAGCUAGUAGGUGGGGUAACGGCUCACCUAGGCGACGAUCCCUAGCUGGUCUGAGAGGAUGACCAGCCACACUGGAACUGAGACACGGUCCAGACUCCUACGGGAGGCAGCAGUGGGGAAUAUUGCACAAUGGGCGCAAGCCUGAUGCAGCCAUGCCGCGUGUGUGAAGAAGGCCUUCGGGUUGUAAAGCACUUUCAGCGGGGAGGAAGGCGAUAAGGUUAAUAACCUUGUCGAUUGACGUUACCCGCAGAAGAAGCACCGGCUAACUCCGUGCCAGCAGCCGCGGUAAUACGGAGGGUGCAAGCGUUAAUCGGAAUUACUGGGCGUAAAGCGCACGCAGGCGGUCUGUCAAGUCGGAUGUGAAAUCCCCGGGCUCAACCUGGGAACUGCAUUCGAAACUGGCAGGCUAGAGUCUUGUAG
rnacentral:rRNA from 1 species